UACGUAGGGUGCGAGCGUUAAUCGGAAUUAUUGGGCGUAAAGAGCGUGUAGGCGGCCAGGUAGGUCCGUUGUGAAAACUCGAGGCUCAACCUCGAGACGCCGAUGGAAACCAUCUGGCUAGAGUCCGGAAGAGGAGAGUGGAAUUCCCGGUGUAGCGGUGAAAUGCGCAGAUAUCGGGAAGAACACCCGUGGCUAAGGCGGCUCUCUAGUACGGUACUGACGCUGAGACGCGAAAGCGUGGGGAGCGAACAGG
rnacentral:rRNA from 1 species